rnacentral:lncRNA from 13 species
AAUAUUUUUGCUAACACUUUCACUGGAUGAGUAUUUUACUCGCAAACUUUCCUAGGCAAAAUCUCCAGAGGAAGUUUCACAUUAAAGCAACAACCAACAAAGCUUAUUUUUGUAAUAUGUGGCUUCUUAAAAGUGCCAGUAUGUUCUCACUUCAUUUGGUUAUAAAAUAUAAAAGUGUUUGGUUUUCAAUAUUUCUAAAUUACUUACAGGGUACAAGGUAGGGGUGGAGAUGGCGAGAAGGGGAUUCUUAUGCCAUCUGGCGGUGGCAUGUGGAACUUCGCUGAAUAAGCUAAAUUUACUGACCAUCUGUGCCUAGAGCGGGUUUCUCCAGGGAAAGGCUCUGUAAAUCUCGUCCUUUUGAAAUCCAACGGAAAACAGCCUCCUUCACUGAGGAUUAAUUUAAAGAAAGCCAUUCCCUCUGUUGGCGGGAAACAGGGAAAUUCUGUACCUUGAAAGUCUAUUUAGAUUUCUAGGUGAACCAUCAUAUAUGUCCACUACAUAAUUCUUACUUUUUUUACUUUUUAAAAAAGGAUAAUUUAUAUUCCAGUGACAAGUUUGGGAAAGGCCAAGGCAAGCAAUAGCGUUGAACAUUACGUAGCGUUUACUUAGACCUUGCAGACAUCUGUGCAAUAUCCACCACUGAACACGUGGGGUCGUACUCAAGUCUCUCUGGCCCCUGGUAAUAUGACUCCCUUCCUUUAUUUGCAUGAAUCGCUUGGAUUGGGUGUCAGGUUUUUAAAACGUCAAUGUUUACGUCAAAUUGUUGUCAACCAAUCAGCAUUCUACUUUGGCGUGAUUGGUUUCUACUGUAGGUGUCAAUCAUCCAAAAUUUGCAUACUACUCCGCAGGCCGCCAGGAGCUUGUCAGUCGGCUGUGGCAGCUGGAAGAGAAGGAAUCGGACGGAGAAAAAUGAAAAAUCACUUUGCUUUAGCAAAGCUAAAGAAAAGGGAACCGAACAAGGCUAAGAGAGUGCUGAGAGGAGGUGGGAGAGACGUGAAUGCUGCAGACGAAGGCACGGCUGGGGUGCGAGGCGGAUUUAGUGUGUGCUUUACAAGGAAUGCACGAAUCAACACAGCGCUCAAAUUAAAUCUCUUCUUGAGGGGCUUAAGUAUCUUCUUAGGGUAAAGUAAAGCAUGUUUUCUACUUCUCUCUACUUCCUCUCCAGUUAGCCAGUUGCUAGAAAACCCCCUCAGUAAAAAAAAAAAAAAAAAAUCCCUUCAGACUGACUCCAGCGUGGGUGAGAGCGCGGUCUGUGACCACCAUCCCUUCUUACUCAGCGGAAAACGUCCGCAAGAACUACGCCUCACGGCGCUGACGGGAGCGGCCUCAGCUCCAGCACUCACAGCCACUACCGUCACCGUCGCCCCGCCACCACUACCUUCGCUCCCCCAACGCCGUGACACACUCUCACUCUCUCACACACACACACACACACACACACACACACACACACGUGCGCGCGCGCGAACACUUCUCCCUGUUGUCAAUCAUAAAAGCGCACCAUAGGGCGCAUGCGCGCUGGAGGACUCCAGCACCCCCCCCCCACCGACCCUGCGCCCAGUUUUACGUCACCCCCCGAUGGACCAAUAAGAGAGCAGAUUCAGGGGCGGGCCACAAGGAAGUAGCCAAUGAGAGCGCGGUUGGAAGCCAAGGCUAGAGAGGAGUAAAUCCUUCUGUCGUCCGCGUUCAGCAGCCCCCGCGAUGAUUUAUGCGUCCUUUUUAUUAUUUGUAACACUUUGAGAAGUUAUUAAAAGGAAGAUCUACUGCUUCCUCCUUUUGGGGUGGAACUGGAUGGCAAUAUUUGUCACUGGCCCUUAUUAGAGAAGAGUGUGGCGAGGUGCAAGGCGGUUGGACGCUGGGUUUGUUUGUGUGGGUCCUGUUUUUUAUUACAAGACACAUUAUCCUUUUCAUUACAAGCUGUAGACAGGGCCAGCUUCGAAGGUCUUCGUGGCCGAGUGAUCUUGGAUCAUUCAGGGAGCUGAAACCUGAUGCCUUCUGACUUUCGCGUCCGUACUCUUGGCGUUGGGAAGCGCCUCUCGGGAAGGUGUUGCAACCUUUGGUUGUACCAUCACUCAUACCCCUACUCCCCGCCUUAACACGGAGUAAACGUCGACUUUUUUCCGCUUGGAUGCUCAUUAAGAGUUAGUUGACUUUGUAGCGGAUGCAAUAAAACUUGGAUGGUUUCAAGACCCA